rnacentral:rRNA from 1 species
GACGAACGCUGGCGGCGUGCUUAACACAUGCAAGUCGAACGGAAAGGCCCUGCUUGUGUGGGGUGCUCGAGUGGCAAACGGGUGUGUAACACGUGUGUAACCCGCUCUUGACUUUGGUAUAACUUCGGGAAACUGGCUCUAAUAGCGUAUAGGAGUUCCCGCCGCAUGGAGGGGGUUGGAAGAAUUUGGCGGUUGGGGAUGGACUCGCGGCUUAUCAGCUUGUUGGUGGGGUAGCGGCUUACCAAGGCUUCGACGGGUAGCCGGCCUGAGAGGGUGACCGGCCACACUGGGACUGAGAUACGGCCCAGACUCCUACGGGAGGCAGCAGUGGGGAAUAUUGCACAAUGGGCGGAAGCCUGAUGCAGCAACGCCGCGUGCGGGAUGAAGGCCUUCGGGUCGUAAACCGCUUUUGCCUGUGAAGAAGCGAGAGUGACGGUACUGGGUAAAGAAGCACCGGCUAACUACGUG